UACAGAGGUGGCAAGCGUUGUUCGGAAUUACUGGGCGUAAAGGGCGCGUAGGUGGCCUUCUUAGUCAGACGUGAAAUCCCCAGGCUUAACCUGGGAACUGCGUCUGAUACUGGAAGGCUUGAGUUCGGGAGAGGAAUGUGGAAUUCCAGGUGUAGCGGUGAAAUGCGUAGAUAUCUGGAGGAACACCGGUGGCGAAGGCGGCAUUCUGGACCGAAACUGACGCUGAGGCGCGAAAGCCAGGGGAGCAAACGGG
rnacentral:rRNA from 1 species